GUCCCUGUAGCUCAGUUGUCACACAGUCCCUCUAGAGCGUUGGACUUCUAAUCCAAAGGUCGUCGGUUCAAAUCCCACCUGGGAUG